AUGAGGAGAGGGAAUGGGGAGAGGGGGGACAGCUGGCAGGGGAGUACUGCCCUGGCCCUCUGGGAGGCGUUGCCUGCCACCAAGCAGCACCACCCUUGCCACUACAGGCAGCCCGGAAUUCCUUCAGUUACAGACCCGAGCAACUCCAGACUAACUCGGCUACCCCCUGAAGCUUCAAGUACAACGUGUCAGGUAAGACUGGUAUGAACGUGAAUCUAUUUGUACUAGAAUGAAAACUUACAUUAGGAAUUUCAAUCCUAUAUAUUUUAGAAUAGGCAAAAGAGCCCUCCAAUAGGUUUAAUAAUCAAAAAUGCAAAUGCACCUCUCAAUAUUAACAAUCCAUCGUCAUAAUGGACUCAUUUGGUUAAUACGGACUUUAGAGACAGUGAAUAUUAAACAAAUGGAUCCUAUCAGAUUUUUAGUAUCUUGCUGAAUUCAGAGACAGACUAACUGAUAAGCAAUCCUUAUUUUGCCAUCCUGACUUGGUAUAAAUUAAUAUACAGUGUACUAGAGAGUGCGCAAUAUAACUUGAACUGGUGUUGAUAGUAAGCUUUAUGAUCACUUUAAUUGCUUCAGAGAGAUACAUAGCACAAGGUAUUCAUUCAAUAUGUUUACACAGUUGUGCUAUCAAUGUAACACAGUAUAGGAAAAGAUCACUGAAAAGUUGUAGUUUUACAACCCAAUCUUCUUUAAAAGUUGAUCCCAGCUCGAGGUGUUAAAAUAUGUUUAUUCUGGUAAACGUGUAACCACUGAAAUUUUCAGCGUUUACACGUGGGGGGAGGCAGUUCCUGAGGAACUGUCUGCCCUCCACUCUGCUCUGCUGCCUCUGUAUCAGCAAGUGGCUGUGGGGGUAGGGAGAGGCAAAGCCAGCUCCCUGCAAGCACCAGCUCCCUCCUGCCCUGUCCCACGCUGCUGUCUCCGAUACAGAAGCAGCAGCGUAGAGAGAGGGUGGAGGGCGUCUUCAAGUAACCCUGAAUGUUAACUGCUUACAUAUUCACAUCCCUCAUCACAGCCACUUGCACAGCUUGUAAGCUAUACUAGACACCCUGACACUAUCCACAGGCUGGUUUGAAGUAUUCUACCCACGCUGUCAAAACAGACACCUAAAUAAGUGCUCUCCCCCCUGCAGGAUGCUGGGAUUUCACUAGCAUCUGCACCAUGCUCAUGGGUUUCUCUUAAAAUUUGGAUCACCUCCCCAUAUAUGUAUUUAAUUGCUGAGCAGGACAAGAAACAUUAUUUCUCUUGACUCCCCCUCCCCAUCCUUUAACUGUAUCUCCCAGCUAAUGUAAGAGUGAAUGGAGUUUCCACUUCUGUUCUUCUCCCUGGAUGCAUUUUGUGGGGUGUAAAUUUGUGCUAUUCUCCUUCUCCCAUCCAGCCUCAGGCUUUGGGCUCUCCUCCCCAGCCGAUUGCCUCAGCAGUACACUCAAUCUGAAAUCUACCCAGAUCAUUUCGGCUCACAGGGUUCGCAAGAUCAGCAAUGAACGUUGAUGAGUUCCUGAUCCUUGUCACCUCUGCUUAAGUUUGGAAAGCUAGGAGCAGCAGUGGCCCUGAAUCUUCCUAUAUCUGCAGACACUGGGUUACUAUCAGCUCAUGUCUGGAAGGUUCUCUCUGCAGCUAUAAAGGCCUGAAAAUGUAUUGAAUUAUAAAGAGGGAAAACUUAUGCAUUUAGACACUGAUGGCAUUUGUCAGAGAAUGCUCUCUGCUUCACUCUGCUAUGUGGAUUUUUCAAGCCCUCUUAUCUGUUGCAUUGUCCACCCCAUGCUCACCUACCACUAGUAUUUAUUCCUAGCUAUGAACAACCAGCUGCUUUUAUUAGUUUCUCAUACAAAUUCUCAAGAAGUACUUCCUGUGAGAACACUUGCCUUUUUGAAGACCAGUGAUCUUAAACAAAUGAGCUGUACAAAAAAAAGAUAAAUACAAUAAAAAAAAUCUGUACUGCCCCUAGAUGACCCUCUAUAAUUCCUAUAGCAAGAAACCUCAAAGACACUUAACUUUCAGUAAAAUGACAAAAACCCAAGAGUUACGCCUUGAUAAAUUUGGUAUUACACAGAUAUUGAUUAAUUAAUUAACUCAGUAGUUACACUAACAAACAGUUAGGUUUUGUUUUCCCUUCUGCUGCACGCAUGUACAUCAUGAAUUUGAUCAGUUGCUCCUACACACUUCAAAGGACAAAAGUAAUAAUUUUUGUUUUUGUGUAUCUGAGAAGAACUCAGAAGAGAGACCAUAUACUUACAGAAUUUCUAGACCUAUUAGUGUAAAAGGGUUAAUGGGACAGUCACCUCCAAUGCUUAUAUAUGAUAGUGAUAAGAUAA